UCUGUGAUGUCACAGAGACCAAGGGAAAAGACAGUCGUGAAGCCAGACUGGUCACAGACAUGAAUGACUAAGGCAGUAAAGGUGACUAUCUAUAGGCGCCAGUUGCUCUGGUGAGACAGAGGUCAGAGGUGACCGUUUGGAGAGCAGUUUCAAUGGAAUUAGAGGGCAGGUUAUAACAAACGAGGGAGUGGUUACAGGCCUGGACAGCAGAGAUAAGGUUUUCUUUUCUCUAACAAGAGCCAAUAAAAAGCAACCAUUAUUAAAAAAAAAAAAAAAAAAAAAGCUUAAUGCAAGACAAA